GCCUAGUUAGCUCAGUGGUAGAGCGUGCGAUUCGGAAAACGACGAACGUGGGUUCGAUCCCACUGUGGGGCG